AACAAUAAUCAUGACGAAACGUGAGAUACAGUUUAUGAUAAUA
rnacentral:guide_RNA from 1 species